GACGAACGCUGGCGGCGCGCUUAACACAUGCAAGUCGAACGGAAAGGCCUGCUUUCCCUUGUGGAUUGCGGGUACUCGAGUGGCGAACGGGUGAGUAACACGUGAGUGAUCUGUCCCCAACUUGGGUAUAAGCCUGGGAAACUGGGUCUAAUUCCCGAUAGGACUGCAGGGUGGUGCCUGUGGUGGAAAACGAUUUUCUAGUGGUUGGGGAUGAGCUCGCGGCCUAUCAGCUUGUUGGUGGGGUAAUGGCCUACCAAGGCGGCGACGGGUAGCCGGCCUGAGAAGGUGGACGGCGACAGUGGAACGGGGAAACGGGACUGACUCCGAGGGGAGGCAGCUGUGGGGAGUAGUGCGCGAGGAGCGGAAGCCAGAGGCAGCGACGCGGCGUGGAGGAUGACGGCCUUCGGGGAGUGAACUCCUGUCGUCCGCGAGGAAGCCACGUGGUUGGAAGGGUGGUGACGGUAGUGGUAGAAGAAGCACCGGCUAACUACGUG
rnacentral:rRNA from 1 species